GACGAACGCUGGCGGCGUGCUUAACACAUGCAAGUCGAACGAAGUGGCGAACGGGUGAGUAACGCGUAAUCAACCUGCCCUUCAGAGGGGGACAACAGUUGGAAACGACUGCUAAUACCGCAUACUGAAGGAGGGGAUUGCGUCGGAUUAGCUAGUUGGAGGGGUAACGGCCCACCAAGGCGAUGAUCAGUAGCCGGUCCGGGAGGGUGAAUCGCCACAUUGGGGAUUGUGCCCGGCCCAGAAUCCUACGGGAGGCAGGAGUGGGGAAUUUUUCGCAAAGGAGGAAAGUCUGACGGAGCAAAGCCGCGUGAGUGAUGACGGCCUUCGGGUUGUAAAGCUCUGUUAAUCGGGACGCGGUACCGGAAUAGAAAGCCACGGCUAACUACGUGCCAGCAGCCGCGGUAAUAC
rnacentral:rRNA from 1 species